rnacentral:lncRNA from 1 species
AUAGGGUUAAUUUUCUAAAUGAUCAUUGAACUUUUCUCAAAUUUUCCACGGGGACGUAGAACUUAAAAAUUGCCCCCGUAAGUCACUUAACUUUGAAAAUUGGUACCCCAUCCAUCACUUCGUAGAUGGCGCUUGCAAAAUCGGAAUGAUUUGUUGACAUUGAGCAUAAAUCUACAAGUAUAUAUGUGAUUGUUUUUUAUUCACAAAUCGUCCAAUGCAUAUUUGGGGGUUUUUAUGACUAUUUAAUGCAUGAUUUUAUCCAAAUGUAGAGCUUUCUAAAAUCUGAAUUUCACAAACUUUAUGAGCUGGAUUAUUAUAGUUUCUAACUAAUUACAGCACAAUUUAUGUAGAAAUCUAAUUUAUAGUUUUCAAUGCAUGCCACAUAAGCCAUGCCAUACAUUAGACAUGUCAUCAAAUCCUUUAAAUUUUACAAGUAUUGUUUACGCAGUCAUGGAUGGGGUACUAAAUUUCAAAGUUAAGUGACAAACGAUGGUAGUUUUUCUGCUCAGUGACCUUGCGGGAACUUUAAGAAAAGUUUAGUGGCCAUUUAGGGAAUUAACCCUAUUAUAUACAUACCAGCAUGUUAUGUUUGUGCAGUUCGUAUAACUGGGAGCGAUGCAACAACAAUAAGUUCGACCUUAGUAGGUACUAGAAUAGUAGAUUGUGCUGGUGCUGGUGCUGCUAUAGGUAUUAGUCUCAAAUUCUUUAUCUUUUCUCACAUGGAG